UCAAACUGGAGAGUUUGAUCCUGGCUCAGAAUGAACGCUGGCGGCGUGCCUAACACAUGCAAGUCGAGCG
rnacentral:rRNA from 2 species